AUACUUACCUGGCAGGAGAGAUACCAUAUUCAUGAAGGUGGUUUUCCCAGGGUGAGACUUAUCCACUGCACUCUGGAUGUGCUUGACUCCUGCGAUUUCCCCAAAUGUGGAAAACUUGACUGUGAUUUGUGGUAUUCAGAGACUGUUUGAGCUCUCCUCUGC